rnacentral:rRNA from 1 species
CCCCUAGAUGUUCUGGGCCGCGCGCGCUACACUGAACAGUUCAACAAGUCUUAACCUUGGCCGAUAGGUCUGGGUAAUCUUUGAACGCUGUUCGUGAUUGGGAUAGACCUUUGCAAUUAUGGGUCUUCAACGAGGAAUUCCUAGUAAACGCAAGUCAUCAGCUUGCAUUGAUUACGUCCCUGCCCUUUGUACACACCGCCCGUCGCACCUACCGAUUGAAUGGUCCGGUGAAAUCUCGGGACGGCGGCUUGGUCGCUUGCGUCCGACUGCUGAAACUUGAUUAAACCAUAUCAUUUAGAGGAAGGUGAANUCGUAACA